rnacentral:rRNA from 1 species
AGCGAACGCUGGCGGCAGGCCUCAAACAUGCAAGUCUAGGGGGUGUAGCAAUACAUCACCGGCGGACGGGUGCGUAACGCGUGGGAAUGUACCUAUUGGUUCGGAACAACUGAGGGAAACUUCAGCUAAUACCGAAUGUGCCCGAAAGGGGAAAGAUUUAUCGCCAAUGGAUCAGCCCGCGUAGGAUUAGCUAGUUGGUG